rnacentral:rRNA from 1 species
CUCGCCCGGGGACAACGAGCCCCAGCUUAAAACCCAAAGGACUUGGCGGUGCUUUAGACCCCCCUAGAGGAGCCUGUUCUAGGAUCGAUACUCCCCGUUCAACCUCACCCCCUCUUGUUUUUCCCGCCUAUAUACCGCCGCCGUCAGCUCACCCUGUGAAGGACUAAUAGUGAGCAAAAUUGGUCAGAGCCCAAAACGUCAGGUCAAGGUGUAGCGUACGAGGGGGGAAGAAAUGGGCUACAUUUGCUGACCCAGCAAAUACCGAUAUUGCACUGAAACAAGCAAUUGAAGGUGGAUUUAGCAGUAAGGGGAGAGUAGAGUGCCCCCCUGAAGACGGCCCUGGAGCGCGCACACACCGCCCGUCACUCUCCCCAAAGCCCAGUAGCACAUAAAUAAUAAAAUUGUCAGGCAUCAAGGGGAGGCAAGUCGUAACAUGGUAAGUGUACCGGAAGGUGCACUUGGAAAAUUU